CUGCCCUGUGACUUAAGAGUUUAACGGCCGCGGUAUCUUGACCGUGCGAAGGUAGCGCAAUCACUUGUCCUUUAAAUGGGGACCUGUAUGAAUGGCAUAACGAGGGCUCAACUGUCUCCCCCCUCCAGUCAGUGAAAUUGAUCUCCCCGUGCAGAAGCGGGGAUACUCCCAUAAGACGAGAAGACCCUAUGGAGCUUUAGACAUUUGGCAGCCUGCAACAAACAACCCGCACUAAUGGUUACGAACAAAGCACCACUCUGCUGGACUGUCUUCGGUUGGGGCGACCGUGGGAUAAAGAAAACCUCCCAUGAGGACCGGGAAAACCUUCCCAGAACUAAGGGUCACCACCCUAAGCAACAGAAACUCUGACCUAAUGAUCCAGCCUAUGGCUGAUCAGCGGACCGAGUUACCCUAGGGAUAACAGCGCAAUCCCCUCCUAGAGCCCCCAUCGACGAGAGGGUUUACGACCUCGAUGUUGGAUCAGGACAUCCUAAUGGUGCAGCCGCUAUUAAGGGUUCGUUUGUUCAACGAUUAAAGUCCUAC
rnacentral:rRNA from 1 species